GCGCUCGCUUUGGCAGCACAUGUACUUUUAAAAUUGGAAUAAUACAGAGAUUAGCAAGGCCCCUGUGCAAGGAUGAUGUGCAAAUUCGUGAAGCACUCCAUAUUUUU
ensembl:snRNA U6 U6 spliceosomal RNA